GGCUAUACAUGCAAGUCGAACGAACUCUGGUAUUGAUUGGUGCUUGCAUCAUGAUUUACAUUUGAGUGAGUGGCGAACUGGUGAGUAACACGUGGGAAACCUGCCCAGAAGCGGGGGAUAACACCUGGAAACAGAUGCUAAUACCGCAUAACAACUUGGACCGCAUGGUCCGAGCUUGAAAGAUGGCUUCGGCUAUCACUUUUGGAUGGUCCCGCGGCGUAUUAGCUAGAUGGUGGGGUAACGGCUCACCAUGGCAAUGAUACGUAGCCGACCUGAGAGGGUAAUCGGCCACAUUGGGACUGAGACACGGCCCAAACUCCUACGGGAGGCAGCAGUAGGGAAUCUUCCACAAUGGACGAAAGUCUGAUGGAGCAACGCCGCGUGAGUGAAGAAGGGUUUCGGCUCGUAAAACUCUGUUGUUAAAGAAGAACAUAUCUGAGAGUAACUGUUCAGGUAUUGACGGUAUUUAACCAGAAAGCCACGGCUAACUACGUGCCAGCAGCCGCGGUAAUACGUAGGUGGCAAGCGUUGUCCGGAUUUAUUGGGCGUAAAGCGAGCGCAGGCGGUUUUUUAAGUCUGAUGUGAAAGCCUUCGGCUCAACCGAAGAAGUGCAUCGGAAACUGGGAAACUUGAGUGCAGAAGAGGACAGUGGAACUCCAUGUGUAGCGGUGAAAUGCGUAGAUAUAUGGAAGAACACCAGUGGCGAAGGCGGCUGUCUGGUCUGUAACUGACGCUGAGGCUCGAAAGUAUGGGUAGCAAACAGGAUUAGAUACCCUGGUAGUCCAUACCGUAAACGAUGAAUGCUAAGUGUUGGAGGGUUUCCGCCCUUCAGUGCUGCAGCUAACGCAUUAAGCAUUCCGCCUGGGGAGUACGGCCGCAAGGCUGAAACUCAAAGGAAUUGACGGGGGCCCGCACAAGCGGUGGAGCAUGUGGUUUAAUUCGAAGCUACGCGAAGAACCUUACCAGGUCUUGACAUACUAUGCAAAUCUAAGAGAUUAGACGUUCCCUUCGGGGACAUGGAUACAGGUGGUGCAUGGUUGUCGUCAGCUCGUGUCGUGAGAUGUUGGGUUAAGUCCCGCAACGAGCGCAACCCUUAUUAUCAGUUGCCAGCAUUAAGUUGGGCACUCUGGUGAGACUGCCGGUGACAAACCGGAGGAAGGUGGGGAUGACGUCAAAUCAUCAUGCCCCUUAUGACCUGGGCUACACACGUGCUACAAUGGAUGGUACAACGAGUUGCGAACUCGCGAGAGUAAGCUAAUCUCUUAAAGCCAUUCUCAGUUCGGAUUGUAGGCUGCAACUCGCCUACAUGAAGUCGGAAUCGCUAGUAAUCGCGGAUCAGCAUGCCGCGGUGAAUACGUUCCCGGGCCUUGUACACACCGCCCGUCACACCAUGAGAGUUUGUAACACCCAAAGUCGGUGGGGUAACCUUUUAGGAACCAGCCGCCUAAGGUG
rnacentral:rRNA from 2 species